UUUUGUGUGCCUGUGGCUUUUUCCACUGCAGCACUGUUGAACGUAUUGCCCUCCCUGGAUGAUGUUUGAGAUGCUCACAGCCACAGGUGAGUGCAAGCAGCUCAGAGACUUUCCAUGGGAUUGACCAACACGUUGCUGAGGUGCCUAGGUGUGUCAGGAGGAGCUCAGAGGCUGCGUGCACGGUUCAGAAGGGUCAGCUGGCGUUAUCCCCACUUUGCCUUCUGCCCAGGUAAUCUGCAUAAUGUCAGGAGCUGACCCAAAGCGCCCAGAUAAGUAGCUGUCUGUGCAAUCCUUGCUUUCUUCUUUAGUCUUUUUUCUUUUUUUUUUUUUUGCCAGCUAUUGUUGGAGCUUGUUAACACCUGACAAAUGUAGGUUCUGUGCUACAUUUGUCUAAUGUUUACAUAGCAAAGUCAUGUUGUGAUUUUUUUCUCUGCAGUUGUACUUAGUGCAGAAAAGUGCAUAGUAUAAUUAACCAUUGCAUUAAGGUAAAGCUUAAAUGCUUAUUUCAUACUCAAAUCCAGAAAAGAAUGCUUUCUAUUUAGAGAUGGGCUUGCUUCUUAAUCCUUUUGUGCUCUUACUGGUAAAUAAACUAACUUGCAUCAUCCCAAAACACCAGAGAAGGACAAGGCAGGACUACAGGAAUAGUUUUCUACUGGGGUAUGCCUCACAGCAGCUGAUCAAGUUUGAUUUAAGACAAAGAAAACCAAACCCAAAAUAAACUCAAAAGCAGAACAGCUCCUCGAAUGUCUCUGCUGUGUUUCGCUUGCUGCUGCUGCCCCCUCUCGUGGCAGCAGAAACCAGCAGAGCCUGUGCGUAGUGCCCUGUGUUGGCUGAUGUGAGGGGGCAGCUGCUGGGGCUUGUGAGGAGCUUUCUGAGAGCUUCCCCCUGAAAUCUGCUGCCUACAGAUGGCCUUUAACCUAAGAGUACUCUGCCAUGAGAUUUUGAUCUUCAGCAUCAGCCUCCAGAUGCGGACACGUGAGUUAAAUACCGGGCGACCCUGCCUGCAUGCACCGAGGGAGCAGCUGCUGUGAGGUUACCAAAACCUCACACAGAUCCUACGGUGUGACGUUGAUUGCAGCCCUCUGCACGGAUCUCCUGCUCUGCUCUGCGUGGCUGAACUGGCUCCAUAUCCUGCUGCUUCCGUGGCCUGCUCAUCAGCGCCUAACCGGAGGCAUUCCUCCUGCUGCCAUCCCCAGGGUAUUUUCUCGGUUGGGCUGUAAAUCAGCCGGGUAAUGAUGCGUUCGCCGCAUCCAUUACGAGCGCCGAUCGAAACUCCUUGUGCUCAAGAAAGGGAGCAGUAAACUGAAAGGUGCCAGGGGAAUUUUAUCCGUGCUGUAUUCUUUAUUAAAACGCAGAGAACAAAAUAUCAGGGGGUAAGAGGGAAGCACGGCUCCUCAGGGGAUCUUGCAGUGCUGUCUGUGACAGAUGAAUAUAACUCGCUCCCAUUGACUGCUGUGCACCUGUCCUGGUUCGUGCGAGGUAACAGUCAGACCCGUAAAGUGUAUUUAUUAGACCUCCCCCUGCCCAGUAACAUCAUUAAAUGAGGAAGGGGAGAGCAGAAGUGUCUCAGGAGGAGAGAUAAUUUAAUAGCUUCUGCACUAGGUCUUCUGCACAUUUAAUCAGUGGGUGAUGUUUAUUGCUGCUGGAGUCCUGGGCCCAUCCUGUUCUUCCUGCCCAGCAGGCAAAUUCCUGGGCUAGGCGUGAGCCCCUUCGGGAAGGGGCAGAGUUUUUCUGCGGUCACUGCAGGAUGGCUGGAAUAUUGAUGUCCUCUCUUUGCUUCCUGCCAGCUUGUCUAUAGCUUGACCUGCUCACGAACUGACAUAUGGACCAGGAGAGUCCUGCUGAGUAGCUGCUGCCCCUCUGGUAGCUCAUCCCAUCCAGCUGUGGGCUUGGUGUAGCGCCCUGCCUUGCCAUCAGCAGUCCCAAACCUGGGAUCUCAGAGCUGCUGGAGCUUGUGAAAAAUGCUGUCUGGCUCCAGGAUGUGGUGUGAAGCUUCCCCGGGUGCUUGGCUCUGGCAGUUGGAUGCCCUCUGACAUUGCUAGCAGUUGUUUAGCUGUUCUCAGAAACAGCUCCUCUCUGCUUGCUGAAGCCAUAUCUGAUGUGUUAAGUGUGAUGUUUGCUUUCUUCCUGUUCAACCUCCUCGCUCUAAGCUAGCAGCUUUGGUGUUGCAAGCCUAAAUACAGCUGCCUCCUUUCUCCUCUUGUCCUCUGAAGGGUGUGUGGAGCGCCUCAUGGGGCGGCCUGCAAGGGCCUGGGGUCCUCUCACCCUUCCCUAGUUCAGGGAGCACCACGAGAGGUGGGGACCAGAAACCCUGUGGUUUUCUGUGCUCAUUUUAACCAAAGUUGAGUGAAAAGGUCCUACUGGGUGGGCUCUGUGAGACACACAGCACUACAACAUCAUCUUGUCCAAGUUAAGUAGGGAGGAUUUCAAGCACUGAUUAGCGGCACAAUGCGGAUUCCUCUGGUCAAUAUUAGAUUGAGCAGAUGGUCUGUUUUCACCUCUGGUUUGCCAUGCAGAGUGGAAAUUGUAGCGGGGACAGCUACCUGCAUCCCCAGUGAGCGUCAGGAGUGAUGCUGGGUGUUCCUGCAGCACUUGUGAGCCUGGCUACUGGGAGAGCUGGGCGCUUACACCCCCUAGGGCAUCGGCGCUGGCUGGCAGGUCUGCUCGACCCAUCCAUGGGGUUUCUUUCUGAAAAGGGAGGAUAUACCAAUUUGUUUUGAGAUGCUGGGGGCUCUGCAACACCACUUUGCACUGACUUACUGAGUUUUCUCCCCCUCGUUCAGAGCUCAAAGGACAAGCCCUCAGGGCUGCUCCCCAUGCCUGUGUCCCCUGGGUGUCUCUGCCAGUCUGUGUCCAAGUGCCAUGGAGCACUGUGUCCAGUCAGCGGCCCGGCUCCCCUGGCCUGCUUUUGGGGCCUGAGCACCUCUGACGUUGGUGUCUUGUGAUGCAGUGACACUCGCUCCUCCUGAAGGGCUGGCGCCCUUGCCCUGUGUCCCCCUGCUGUGCUGGCUGCGUUUCCUCACGGCUGUGGGAGGCCUGGCAGUGAGCAACCCGAGCCCAGCUCCCACAGAAAGCAGCUGCCAGCGCAUCAGCCCUGUCAGCUGCUAGGGCCUGUCUCCAGAAAUGUCCACGUUCAAAGCCCCGAGCCGGCAUGAGGAAAGAUCCUGCGUGUUACCAGAGCCGUGCUGGGUAACGCCAGCGGCCUCGCCCCAGAGCAUGCUGUGUGCUUCAGGCAAAGCUCUGCCCUCGCUGCUUGGAGCCAAAUGCCCAGCCGGCCUCCGGGGGUGUGCGAGCAGAGCUCAUCCCUCUGAGAAAGGCCCUCCUGGUCAUCUCUGAGGGGAUCAGUGUCUCUCAGUGCCACUUCUGGGCUGUGUGGCCUUGCGGGCUGGGCCGUGGGAUCCACACCAGGGCCUGGGAUCUGGAGGGCACCGAGGUUUUCGCUGCCCUCUCCCCCUGUGCUUGGUGUUAGCGCUGUGGCACAUAAUUUACUCCCUGACUCAGUCCCGCAGUUGCAGUCCCGGCUCAGAAAUGCGAUGACGGCUGUGGCAUCGGCGUGUCCUUGCCUUUUGUUUGCCACAAUACAGCUCUACUCGGGCAGAGCAGAAAGGGAAAGAAAUAACAAUGAUAGACGGAUGGAGGGGAAGAUCUGACGUGCCUUUCCAGCCCGUGUGCUGUGUAUUUCAUCUCGGGUGGGGACUCUCAUUAAGUAGUCACUCGGCAGAAGCAACCUGUACCUAAAGGUUAAUUUCCACAGCAGUUGUUGCUGGGUUGUUUGAUGGUGGGUAAUUUCCAGCCUCAAAAGAGUCUUUUACUCCUACCUAGUAUUUAAUGAGAUUAAAUUGCAACUCCUCCAAGGCCUCGUGGCGGAAGUGUGUAUGUGUGGCAGGUGGCCACGAAAGCUUUGUGUGGGCUUAAUAGAAAGGCGCUCGGGGAGCAGAGAGAAAAAAACCCUUUCAUAAUGAAGGGGAAAAAUAGUGGCGAUGUUUGAAAGCUUCAUAGGUGUUAAUAAAAGAUACUGCUUUUUCAGUCACACGGAUUGAUAAAUACAAUGGGCUUCCGUAGGAAUCUGUCUGUAGGACAAAAAUUACUCUAACGUGACUUUGAUGCACGCAGGACGCUCCUUGGAAGGCCUGGGGCGAGGUGACCCUUCAGGCGAGGUGACUGGGAUGAGUUUUGCAGUUGUUAGGGUAGCGCUGGGCCUGAUCCUGACCUUGUGGUGUACUUAAAAUUUGCUUUGUUUGGUGAAGGUAGUCCUGCAAAGAUCCAGCAAGAAGCCGAAGACACAAGGGAGGUUUUGUUCCCUGUUGGUGCAGUUAAGUUAUUCUUUUUAUUUUUGUCUUUGGACAGAGGUGAUCUCCUUGCCUUUGACUUCAGAUUCAGUGGAGCCCAUUCAGUGGCUCUUGUUUCACUCCUUUAAAGAGCUUUUGGGGCACAAGGGGGGGGGGAGUGCUGGAGAUCUCCAUACCAGGCAGCUCCAGCGGGGACCGACGCUAGUCCUCCAUCCUUCAGGCUGUCCCAAUGGCAUCUCAGUGGUGCUGCCGAAUUACCCUGCGGCUGUAUUUCAUUGUCAGACCCAGCGUGGGUUGGUGGGGUCUCAGCUGAGGGAGGGAAAGGCACCUGCUGUCCCUGGGGACUGGGAGGCCUUGGGGUGAGCGUCAGCUGUCUGGGAUUAGCAGCGGGGAGCCACACGCAGCGUAGGCUCUGACGCACGGCCACAUGCCUGAGGGAAUCUCGCUCCUCUUCCCCUCGCCAGCAUCCCGAGGAAACCACCUGGACCGGCGCGUAGCUCCCGCCUGAGAUCACACAUCGCUGUUACAGGGCUUGGCCCCUGGCCACUUCACGUGGUGCCAGUGAAAUGGCCAGCCAGCAAUCCAGGGACAAAUCUUGCUUUUCAGAAAUGUUUGCUCCUGGCCAUUUAUCUGUGCUUAUUUGGAGAAAAUAAUUAUCAAGCUGGGAGCUUUCCUCUCCAUCAUCUCAGCAAUAUGUCAUGAGUGCAAAAGCCGGUCUUGUACACAGAGUUGCCAGACUGAAGGCCAGCCUUUAGAUUCCAAGCCAGAAAUGCAACCCCAGAAAGGAUUCUGAGCUCUUUGUGCUGCUUAAAGGCUGCAGGGAUGUGUGAAAAUGAGGAUAAGUAAACAGCCUGAGUCAUACCGAGCUCCGACAUAAAAGGGAGGGAUGUUCCCUUUGGGGAACAGAGGAGUUUGGUAUUGGUGUCACAUAAAGGAGUUCCCAAGGAUCUGGGAGGAUGGUCUCUGAUGCAGCACGCUGAAAUGAAUGCUAUUACUGUUGUUGUUUUGUUUUCUCUUCCCCCCAAGCAUGGCUGAGUCAGGCCCUUUCCGGCCUGAACAGUUGCAUCCUAUUCUCUGAGUGCUGAAAGGGGCUUUGGGCAGCAUCAAUUAUUUCUGGGGCACAGUGAGUGUAAAUUUGUGCUUAUAAGCAGGCAGGGGGCCCUGUGGUUACCGCUGCUGGGUCUCUCCCAGCUGUAGCUCUGUGUGCUCGCUUCUCAACCCCGUUGGUGCCUUGACUCGGCGCA